rnacentral:rRNA from 1 species
UACGAAGGGGGCUAGCGUUGUUCGGAAUUACUGGGCGUAAAGCGUAUGUAGGCGGAUCUUUAAGUCGGGGGUGAAAUCCCGAGGCUCAACCUCGGAACUGCCUUCGAUACUGAAGAUCUUGAGUCCGGGAGAGGUGAGUGGAACUGCGAGUGUAGAGGUGAAAUGCGUAGAUAUUCGCAAGAACACCAGUGGCGAAGGCGGCUCACUGGCCCGGUACUGACGCUGAAAUACGAAAGCGUGGGGAGCAAACAGG